rnacentral:misc_RNA from 1 species
UGUGGGAGCUGGCUUGCCUGCGAUACGGGCGACUCGGUCUUUUCAGUGGCACCGAGGUGAUGCUAUCGCAGGCAAGCCUGCUCCCACA